AUGCCUCACUAGCAUGACUAGUGGAAGGAAUUAGUUUUGAAUUUUAAUUCCCUCUCUGGCUGAAGUGUGUGUGCCAGUAGAGGAAGAAAUUGAAUGGGUACCCAUAGUUUAAGCUAGCUAGCCUUGAGAUUUCUCAUAAGCCUCUAGCAAUUGAGAUGAACAUUGUACUAAUGGCAUGAUAUAACUUUAUGUUUUUAUGAAAUCUUUUUGGGACUUCCGAAAUGAGAUUAUUUUGAUUAAAAUUAUAAAUUGUGUUUGGUAUUUGUUUUUCAUUUUUAGUACCAUAUUUGAAUAAAUGUGAUU
rnacentral:misc_RNA from 1 species